GAUAGCCCAAUUGGCAUGGUCUAAAGUGGGAUUGGUACAGUUUGGGUUUUGACCAAUAUUGUCAAAAAAUUGAUUGUCUAUUUGGACAAGCCCAUUUGAACAUUGAUAGCUAAUUGACAUCCCUACAAAUAGGUCAAGGAUUCGCCCAAACAACGACCCAAUAAAUUGCAGUUCUCCAGAACACAAUGCAAGAUAUAUUUUCAAAGAUCUGAGAUUUUUUUUUUUUUGGUAGGGUUUCAAAGAUCUGAGAUAUAGAACGUGUCCUCGCUGCAACACAGUUUCAAUUUUAUUUUACUUUACGUAAGAGAUUUAUCGUUCUUUCAUCUAAAUUUAAGACAAAAUUAUAUGAC
rnacentral:lncRNA from 1 species